UACGUAGGGUGGGAGCGUUGUCCGGAAUUACUGGGCGUAAAGAGCUCGUAGGGGGUGUGUCGGGUUGUUCGUGAAAUCUCACGGCUUAACUGUGAGCGUGCGGGCGAUACGGGCAGACUAGAGUACUGCAGGGGAGACUGGAAUUCCUGGUGUAGCGGUGGAAUGCGCAGAUAUCAGGAGGAACACCGGUGGCGAAGGCGGGUCUCUGGGCCGUUACUGACGCUGAGGAGCGAAAGCGUGGGGAGCGAACCGG
rnacentral:rRNA from 1 species